UACAGAGGUCUCAACCGUUGUUCGGAUUCAUUGGGCGUAAAGGGUGCGUAGGUGGCGCCGUAAGUCGGGUGUGAAAUUUCGGAGCUUAACUCCGAAACUGCAUUCGAUACUGCGGUGCUUGAGGACUGGAGAGGAGACUGGAAUUCAUGGUGUAGCAGUGAAAUGCGUAGAGAUCAUGAGGAAGACCAGUGGCGAAGGCGGGGUCUCUGGGCAGUAACUGACGCUGAGGAGCGAAAGCCAGGGGAGCAAACGGG
rnacentral:rRNA from 1 species